UACAGAGGGUGCAAGCGUUGUUCGGAAUUAUUGGGCGUAAAGCGCGUGUAGGCGGUCUUGCAAGUCGGGUGUGAAAGCCCUCAGCUCAACUGAGGAAGUGCGCCCGAAACUGCAGGGCUUGAGUACCGGAGAGGAUGGCGGAAUUCCCCAAGUAGAGGUGAAAUUCGUAGAUAUGGGGAGGAACACCGGUGGCGAAGGCGGCAUCCUGGACCGGUAUUGACGCUGAGGCGCGAAAGCCAGGGGAGCAAACGGG
rnacentral:rRNA from 1 species